CCAGCCAACACCCGAUUGCUUCCAGUGUGAACUCAACGUUCUGAGGAAGCAAGAGAAGAUGAGCGUCUAUUCCAAAGCCGGCAUCGAGGCGCGGCUGAAGGAGAUAGGGAAGCUGGAUCGGUUGCUGAGGCGCGUGGUGGCGGCGGGCGAGGCAGACCCCAGAGCGGUGCAGGCGGUGUGUGCCACCCAGUGGAGCGUCUGCCUGCCCCUGCUGCAGCGCAACCUCAGGAAACGCGUCCGGACGGAGCUGUAGAGGGUGGCCCAGGCCCUGGAGGACAUCAACAGCAUGCUGCUGGAGACCCGCUGUGAGGUCCACCAGGAGCUAGCCCUCCUGGAGGAGGAGGAGGGCCGUCUGGAGGCCUCCCUGGGGCACCUGGAGAGAGCCGUGCUGCUGGCAGACGGACCGCGCAGAGAGCGCCUGUUGACCACGGUCCACCGGCUGCGCCUCAGAGCCACCCUGUACAGCGCCCCCAGCAGG